AAAUGAUGCGACCCACCCUUGCCAGUUUUAGCCAGUGGCAGGCCGGCACAUGGCUCGCUCUCGGCGUCUGGCUUCCGAGGCUUCAUCCCAACCGCUCAUUCGAUUUAGUAAAUGAAUUUAUUUAGAAGCGACUGUUUCAUCUCCUUUUUCUUCUCAUAAAAAUUUCGAUUUAAAUGCAUUAACCCAAUUCGAAUCAGCCGACGAUCACAUUCCUACCAUCCGACUAAAUCAAGAAACGAAAUAUUUAUACUUGGAGCGCCGUUCAGGUGAUCGAUCGCUUCCUCGCUUACCUUCAGAUGAACGACGCGCACCGGCUUCCGGGCCCUACGGCCGCCCCCGUGGGAGAAGAGAGCGGCGGCGCUCCCGAUGAGGCGGACCCCGCCGCCGUCGGGCACCAGCGGCGGGUCCCCGCGGCG
rnacentral:lncRNA from 1 species